AAUGGGCGCAAGCCUGAUCCAGCCAUGCCGCGUGAGUGAUGAAGGCCCUAGGGUCGUAAAGCUCUUUCGCCUGUGAAGAUAAUGACGGUAGCAGGUAAAGAAACCCCGGCUAACUCCGUGCCAGCAGCCGCGGUAAUACGGAGGGGGUUAGCGUUGUUCGGAAUUACUGGGCGUAAAGCGCGCGUAGGCGGACUAUUAAGUCAGAGGUGAAAUCCCGGGGCUCAACCCCGGAACUGCCUUUGAUACUGGUAGUCUUGAGUUCGAGAGAGGUAAGUGGAAUUCCGAGUGUAGAGGUGAAAUUCGUAGAUAUUCGGAGGAACACCAGUGGCGAAGGCGGCUUACUGGCUCGAUACUGACGCUGAGGUGCGAAAGUGUGGGGAACAAACAGGAUU
rnacentral:rRNA from 1 species